rnacentral:rRNA from 1 species
UACGUAGGUGGCAAGCGUUGUCCGGAUUUACUGGGCGUAAAGAGCGCGCAGGCGGUCGUUCAAGUCGCGUGUGAAAGCCCCCGGCUCAACUGGGGAGGGUCACGCGAUACUGAUCGACUGGAAGGCAGGAGAGGGUAGUGGAAUUCCCGGUGUAGUGGUGAAAUGCGUAGAUAUCUGGAGGAACACCGGUGGCGAAGGCGGCAUCCUGGACCGGUAUUGACGCUGAUGCGCGAAAGCCAGGGGAGCAAACGGG